UAUCUCGAAAUAAAAGAUCUAAGUUAAUUUGUUAGUUUUUGUUUCAAAAAAAUUUAAUAGUUUAAUUUAGGUGUAAAAUGUUAUCCGUUUUUAUUGAUAUCUAGUAACUUUGGAAAUAAAUUUAGUUUAGAAUAUAGAGGGUUACUUGGUCUUAAAAUGUUUUUAUACUUUAGGGGAUGAGCUCUAAAGUAAAUAUAAAAGAAUAAUUUUUUAAUUAAUUUUUUAGGCUUAGAAUUGGCCAUAAGAUAGUGUUAUAAGAUAAAAUUUUAAGUUUAAGAUUUGUUUUUCUUUUGUUUUUAGAAAGUUAAAGAUAAAAUGAAAUUUGUUUUGGAAAUAUGAUAAUAUUAGUAGAAAAGAAAAUGGAUUCUUCUUUAUUUUUUUUAAAAAUAAUUAAGUUAAAAGAACUCGGCAAAAAAGAUUUCCGAAUGUUUAACAAAAACAUUUCCUCUUGAAAAAAGGAGGUAAGGCCUGCUCACUGAAUUUUUAAAGAGCCGCAGUAUUCUGACUGUGCUAAGGUAGCAUAAUCAUUAGUCUUUUAAUUGGAGACUGGUAUGAAUGGCUAAACGAGAAAUCGACUUUUUUUAUCUUAAAAAUUGAAUUUAAUUUUUUAGUGAAAAAGCUAAAAUUUUUCAGAAAGACGAGAAGACCCUAUAGAGUUUUAUAUUUUUAUAAACUUUUUCUUUGUGGAUUUUUUUGGAAUAAGUUUUUUUAAAGUAUUUUGUUGGGGCGACAUUAAGAUAAAAGAAACUCUUUAUUUUUUAAACUUUUAUAAAAGAAUUGUUUGAUCCUUUAAAAGAGAUCAAAAGAAAAAAUUACCUUAGGGAUAACAGCGUAAUCUUUUUUGAGAGUUCUAAUCGACAAAAAGGUUUGCGACCU
rnacentral:rRNA from 1 species